rnacentral:rRNA from 1 species
UGCGUAGGUGGUUCGUUAAGUCUGUCGUGAAAUCCCCGGGCUCAACCUGGGAAUGGCGAUGGAUACUGGCGAGCUGGAGUGAGGUAGAGGAGAGUGGAAUUCCCGGUGUAGCAGCGAAAUGCGUAGAGAUCGGGAGGAACAUCAGUUGCGAAGGCGGCUCUCUGGACCAUCACUGACACUGAGGCACGAAAGCGUGGGGAGCAAACA